rnacentral:rRNA from 1 species
UAGAUACCCUGGUAGUCCAUGCCGUAAACGUUGGGCGCUAGGUGUGGGACUCAUUCCACGAGUUCCGUGCCGCAGCUAACGCAUUAAGCGCCCCGCCUGGGGAGUACGGCCGCAAGGCUAAAACUCAAAGGAAUUGACGGGGGCCCGCACAAGCGGCGGAGCAUGCGGAUUAAUUCGAUGCAACGCGAAGAACCUUACCAAGGCUUGACAUAUACCGGAAACACUCAGAGAUGGGUGCCCCUUUUGGUCG